UGGGGAAUUUUUGGACAAUGGGCGAAAGCCUGAUCCAGCAAUGCCGCGUGUGUGAAGAAGGCCUUCGGGUUGUAAAGCACUUUUGUCCGGAAAGAAAUCCUUGGCUCUAAUACAGUCGGGGGGAUGACGGUACCGGAAGAAUAAGCACCGGCUAACUACGUGCCAGCAGCCGCGGUAAUACGUAGGGUGCAAGCGUUAAUCGGAAUUACUGGGCGUAAAGCGUGCGCAGGCGGUUUGCUAAGACCGAUGUGAAAUCCCCGGGCUCAACCUGGGAACUGCAUUGGUGACUGGCAGGCUAGAGUAUGGCAGAGGGGGGUAGAAUUCCACGUGUAGCAGUGAAAUGCGUAGAGAUGUGGAGGAAUACCGAUGGCGAAGGCANCCCCCCUGGGCCAAUACUGACGCUCAUGCACGAAAGCGUGGGGAGCAAACAGGAUUAGAUACCCUGGUAGUCCACGCCCUAAACGAUGUCAACUAGUUGUUGGGGAUUCAUUUCCUAGUAACGUAGCUAACGCGUGAAGUUGACCGCCUGGGGAGUACGGUCGCAAGAUUAAAACUCAAAUGAAUUGACGGGGUCAUAGCUG
rnacentral:rRNA from 1 species